CACCUCCUGUCUCCUAGGCCUCUCCUCCAAAGGCCUCUCCUUCCUCUUAACUGAGGGCAGCCCCGCCCAGGUGUUGAGGCCGAGCUUUUUAACAGCGCCCGCUCGGCCUCAGAACUGCCCGGAGAGGAGCCGCCCUGGAUGGACAGAGGGACGAGGACGAGCAUCUAGCCAGUCGUGCCCGGCUGCCCUGCAGUCGCCUCCAACACCCGCUGCUGCCCGCCCGCUGCCUGCCUGCCUGGCAUCUCUCUCUCCCGGGAGUUGAGCUGAGAGGCCUGAAGGGAGAUGGAUGAGGCUAAGGUUGCCCGUGGUGAGCAGCAGAGUGGGAGCAUGAAGCUAGACCCCCAACUGGACAUCUGGCACCCUGAAAGCCUGAGGGAAGGGCCCUCCCAGAGUGCCAUGAACAUCUGAAUGACA